rnacentral:rRNA from 1 species
CAGCAGUAGCCGCGGUAAUACGUAGGUGGCAAGCGUUGUCCGGAAUUAUUGGGCGUAAAGGGCUCGCAGGCGGUUUCUUAAGUCUGAUGUGAAAGUCCCCGGCUCAACCGGGGAGGGUCAUUGGAAACUGGGAAACUUGAGUGCAGAAGGGGAGAGUGGAAUUCCACGUGUAGCGGUGAAAUGCGUAGAGAUGUGGAGGAACACCAGUGGCGAAGGCGACUCUCUGGUCUGUAACUGACGCUGAGGAGCGAAAGCGUGGGGAGCGAACAGGAUUAGAUACCCCUGUAGUCCCUGUCUCUUAUAC